rnacentral:rRNA from 1 species
UACGGAGGAUGCGAGCGUUAUCCGGAUUUAUUGGGUUUAAAGGGUGCGUAGGCGGUUUUAUAAGUUAGAGGUGAAAAUUCGGGGCUCAACUCCGGACGUGCCUCUAAUACUGUAUGACUAGAGAAUAGAUGCGGUAGGCGGAAUUCGUGGUGUAGCGGUGAAAUGCUUAGAUAUCACGAAGAACUCCGAUUGCGAAGGCAGCCUGCUGGACGGUGUACUGACGCUGAGGCUCGAAAGCGUGGGGAGCAAACAGG